AUUGAACGCUGGCGGAAUGCUUUACACAUGCAAGUCGAACGGCAGCACGGGUGCUUGCACCUGGUGGCGAGUGGCGAACGGGUGAGUAAUACAUCGGAACGUACCCAGUUGUGGGGGACAACUAACCGAAAGGUUAGCUAAUACCGCAUACGACCUGAGGGUGAAAGCGGGGGACCGUAAGGCCUCGCGCAAUUGGAGCGGCCGAUGUCUGAUUAGCUAGUUGGUAGGGUAAAGGCCUACCAAGGCGACGAUCAGUAGCUGGUCUGAGAGGAUGAUCAGCCACACUGGAACUGAGACACGGUCCAGACUCCUACGGGAGGCAGCAGUGGGGAAUUUUGGACAAUGGGCGAAAGCCUGAUCCAGCCGUUCCGCGUGAGUGAAGAAGGCCCUCGGGUUGUAAAGCUCUUUCGGCAGGGAAGAAACGGCCUAGGUUAAUACCUUGGGCUAAUGACGGUACCUGAAGAAGAAGCACCGGCUAACUACGUGCCAGCCGCCGCCGUAA
rnacentral:rRNA from 1 species